GAUGAACGCUGGCGGCGUGCCUAAUACAUGCAAGUCGAGCGAACGGACGAGAAGCUUGCUUCUCUGAUGUUAGCGGCGGACGGGUGAGUAACACGUGGAUAACCUACCUAUAAGACUGGGAUAACUUCGGGAAACCGGCGCUAAUACCGGAUAAUAUUUUGAACCGCAUGGUUCAAAAGUGAAAGACGGUCUUGCUGUCACUUAUAGAUGGAUCCGCGCUGCAUUAGCCAGUUGGUAAGGUAACGGCUUACCAAGGCAACGAUGCAUAGCCGACCUGAGAGGGUGGUCGGCCACCCUGGAACUGAGACACGGUCCCGACUCCUACGGGAGGCAGCAGUCGGGAAUCUUCCGCAAUGGGCGAAAGCCUGACGUAGCAACGCCGCGUGAGUGAUGAAGGUCUUCGGAUCGUAAAGCUCUGUUAUUAGGGAAGAACAUAUGUGUAAGUAACUGUGCACAUCUUGACGGUACCUAAUCAGAAAGCCCCGGCUAACUACGUG
rnacentral:rRNA from 1 species